rnacentral:rRNA from 1 species
GACGAACGCUGGCGGCGUGCCUAAUACAUGCAAGUUGAGCGCUGAAGGUUGGUACUUGUACCAACUGGAUGAGCAGCGAACGGGUGAGUAACGCGUGGGGAAUCUGCCUUUGAGCGGGGGACAACAUUUGGAAACGAAUGCUAAUACCGCAUAAAAACUUUAAACACAAGUUUUAAGAUUGAAAGAUGCAAUUGCAUCACUCAAAGAUGAUCCCGCGUUGUAUUAGCUAGUUGGUGAGGUAAAGGCUCACCAAGGCGAUGAUACAUGGCCGACCUGAGAGGGGGAUCGGCCAAAUUGGGACUUGGGCACGGCCCCAACUCCUACGGGAGGCAGCAGUAGGGAAUCUUCGGCCAUGGACGGAAGUCUGACCGGGCAACGCCGCGGGAGGUAAGAAGGGUUUCGGAUCGUAAAACUCUGUUGGUAGAGAAGAACGUUGGUGAGAGUGGAAAGCGCACCAAGUGACGGUAACUACCCAGAAAGGGACGGCUAACUACGUG